rnacentral:sRNA from 1 species
ACAGACGUGACUGAGCCCAGUCGAAUCACACUGACUGGAGGAAAGCUGAGCGGGCUGUGGCUCCGCAGUGGGUCCUGGGAACAAGUCUCAUGUGUGCCUGCUUGCUUGCCCUAGGAAGACCUGGAAGCGCUCAUAGCCCAUUUCCAGACACUCGAUGCCAAGAGGACUCAGACUGUGGAAGCUCCGUGCCCCCCGCCCUCACCAAGACUUUUUUGUAUAACGAGCUCUAUGUCUACAAUAUCAGAAAGGACACCUGGACCAAAGUUGACAUCCCCAGUCCACCUCCGAGGCGCUGUGCUCACCAGGCGGUGGUGGUGCCUCAAGGUGGCGGACAGCUGUGGGUCUUUGGAGGGGAGUUUGCCUCUCCGAACGGAGAGCAGUUCUACCACUACAAGGAUCUCUGGGUCCUGCAUUUGGCCACCAAGACCUGGGAACAAGUCAAAUCAACAGGCGGUCCUUCGGUCGGAGUGGACAUCGGAUGGUGGCCUGGAAGAGACAAUUGAUCCUUUUUGUGGGCUUCCAUGAGAGUGCACGGAACCAGCAUGGCAAUUGAUGAUGUGAAGGUGCCAUUACACCUUU